rnacentral:rRNA from 1 species
CCUACGGGAGGCAGCAGUGGGGAAUCUUGCACAAUGGGGGAAACCCUGAUGCAGCGACGCCGCGUGAGCGAUGAAGCCCUUCGGGGUGUAAAGCUCUUUCGUCAGGGAAGAUGAUGACGGUACCUGGAGAAGCAGCUGCGGCUAACUACGUGCCAGCAGCCGCGGUAAUACGUAGGCAGCAAGCGUUGUUCGGAGUUACUGGGCGUAAAGGGUGUGUAGGCGGUUCUUUAAGUUUGGUGUGAAAUCUCCCGGCUCAACCGGGAGGGUGCGCCGAAUACUGAGGGACUUCGAGUGCGGGAGAGGAAAGUGGAAUUCCUGGUGUAGCGGUGAAAUGCGUAGAUAUCAGGAGGAACACCGGUGGUGUAGACGGCUUUCUGGACCGUAACUGACGCUGAGACACGAAAGCGUGGGUAGCAAACAGGAUUAGAUACCCUGGUAGUCCACGCCCUAAACGAUGCAUAUUUGGUGUGGGUCAUUCAGUUGAUCCGUGCCGGAGCUAACGCGUUAAAUAUGCCGCCUGGGGAGUACGGUCGCAAGAUUAAAACUCAAAGGAAUUGACGG